rnacentral:lncRNA from 10 species
AGGUCGGACUCCCUGCCGUGAAGAGGAGAAAGGGAAAUUCGAAUAUGGAAGGAGCUCUACUCUCCCUUGCUCUGUCCUCCGCAAGAGAAUGGGGCAGAACAUUCUUUAGUCUACACCUCUGUCCCACAUGAGUUGCCAAAGACCACAGUGCCUGGUGGGUGACAUCUCUCCAGGCUUUUGAAGACAUCUGAGCCUGGAUUUUGAGCACAUUCCUGACCUCCCUACUGGGAGGCUCUUCUCCUUCAAGGGUGACACAGUGAAGUCAAGUAACAGAUGUGGAGAUGCUUUGGAGAGCUUGAAACAGAAGACUACAUAAUAACAAUGGGCCAGUAUCAUAAAGCCAAGAUUGAAGAAGACAGAACUGAAUAUCUCCCUCAUCUGCAAAACUUGCCUUAUCUUUCAGUAUCAUCCUGUUUCAGUGGACAGAAAUCAAUCCAUCAUAUAUUUGAGCCCUGCUCUUAUAACCAAGUUAAAUUU